rnacentral:rRNA from 1 species
CCUACGGGAGGCUGCAGUGGGGAAUAUUGGGCAAUGGACGCAAGCCUGACCCAGCAACGCCGCGUGAAGGAAGAAGGCUCUCGGGUUGUAAACUUCUUUUAUCAGGGACGAAGCAAGUGACGGUACCUGAUGAAUAAGCCACGGCUAACUACGUGCCAGCAGCCGCGGUAAUACGUAGGUGGCAAGCGUUAUCCGGAUUUACUGGGUGUAAAGGGCGUGUAGGCGGUAAAGCAAGUCAGAGGUGAAAACCAUGGGCUCAACCUGGGGCCUGCAUUUGAAACUGUUGUUCUUGAGUACUGGAGAGGCAGACGGAAUCCCAGGUGUAGCGGUGAAAUGCGUAGAUAUUAGGAGGAACACCAGUGGCGAAGGCGUUUUGUUGAAUAGCAAUUGACGCGGAGGAGCGAAAGCGUGGGGAGAAACCAGGAUUAGAUACCCUUGUAGC